UGGGGAAUAUUGGACAAUGGGCGAAAGCCUGAUCCAGCCAUGCCGCGUGUGUGAAGAAGGUCUUCGGAUUGUAAAGCACUUUAAGUUGGGAGGAAGGGCCAUUACCUAAUACGUGAUGGUUUUGACGUUACCGACAGAAUAAGCACCGGCUAACUCUGUGCCAGCAGCCGCGGUAAUACAGAGGGUGCAAGCGUUAAUCGGAAUUACUGGGCGUAAAGCGCGCGUAGGUGGUUUGUUAAGUUGGAUGUGAAAUCCCCGGGCUCAACCUGGGAACUGCAUUCAAAACUGACUGACUAGAGUAUGGUAGAGGGUGGUGGAAUUUCCUGUGUAGCGGUGAAAUGCGUAGAUAUAGGAAGGAACACCAGUGGCGAAGGCGACCACCUGGACUGAUACUGACACUGAGGUGCGAAAGCGUGGGGAGCAAACAGGAUUAGAUACCCCAGUAGUCCCUGAGCGGGC
rnacentral:rRNA from 1 species